rnacentral:rRNA from 1 species
UACGAAGGGGGCUAGCGUUGUUCGGAAUCACUGGGCGUAAAGCGCACGUAGGCGGAUGUGCCAGUCAGGGGUGAAAUCCCGGAGCUCAACUUCGGAACUGCCUCUGAUACAGCACGUCUUGAGUCCGGAAGAGGUGGGUGGAAUUCCUAGUGUAGAGGUGAAAUUCGUAGAUAUUAGGAAGAACACCGGUGGCGAAGGCGGCGACCUGGGUUGACAUUGACGCUGAGGCGCGAAAGCGUGGGGAGCAAACAGG